CAGAGGAUAGUUUAAAUUUUAAAAUUAUAAUUUUGGAGAUUAUAGAUAAAGGUAUUUCUUUUUCUUUGA
rnacentral:tRNA from 1 species